rnacentral:rRNA from 1 species
UACGGAGGGUGCGAGCGUUAAUCGGAAUAACUGGGCGUAAAGGGCACGCAGGCGGGCAAUUAAGUGAGGUGUGAAAUCCCCGGGCUUAACCUGGGAAUUGCAUUUCAGACUGGGAGUCUAGAGUACUUUAGGGAGGGGUAGAAUUCCACGUGUAGCGGUGAAAUGCGUAGAGAUGUGGAGGAAUACCGAUGGCGAAGGCAGCCCCUUGGGCAAGGACUGACGCUCAUGUGCGAAAGCGUGGGGAGCAAACAGG